rnacentral:lncRNA from 1 species
AACUACUUCACUUAUUUUACAUCAAGUUAAAACACAAAUAUAUUAUAUCAGGAAAUCUGACAAAAUGGGGCACAAAUUUCCACCUCAACUACCGUAGAUGGCAGUAAAUUCCGUUACAGGCUGAGUGAUUUGGCAUGGAAUACGUCACGUACAAGAAACACUGGUUUCAAAUAUCCGGAGGAUCGUAGCAUCCUAGAGGAUUGGCUGAAGCAGCGAGGUUUGCAAACGUUACGUGAAACGAACUCGAUAUUGCUAACAAUCGAUGACUGACCAUGAGCCACAAUUUAUAUCAUCACGCGUCUGGCGUUUGUAGCAACUUUGUUUCAACGAAACCGUUUCACAUUCAUCAGACAUUACGACUCAUUCCGAACGUGGCACUGGGUUCAAGGAUAAACGUGAUUGGAAGAAUUGGCACGCUGCCCGGUGAAUACUAAUUUCAGCCAAUGCUACUGUCCGUGUCAAUGGAACUUACUAGAUGAAUUGGUGUAUUUCAAUAUCUACACUGGCGACUCUUCGGAGGAGGGUGGAGAACGGAGGUUGUGGCCUUGGCUUAAGGGGAGAUAUACACCUAGAAGCCGUAAAAAAAGGUGUAUAUCUCCCCUUAAAGCGAUGAGGCGCAUUAUUUUUUCGUCAGAAUCGACAUCACAUUCGAAACCGUUGGCCUUUACAUUGACUCUACUUUGGUUUGCCAAUUCCAAGAGAUCGUUUAUCAAGCAAGGGGGUAAUCAUGCAUGCCGCACUGAUGUGCGGAAGUCUGCAGACAUAUCGUUUUCGCCGUGAUUUAAACAUUUUAACAUUUUAAGAUGUUUUAUUGGUCACUACUAUUCAUCACGUGCAUUUAUUACUUGGAGCAUACUACGCAUAUUGAGGAGCAAGGAACAAAAGA